rnacentral:rRNA from 1 species
UGAGCAAUCUGCCCUUCUCAUCGGAAUAAGCGUUGGAAACGACGUCUAAUGCCGAAUACGACCUCCUUUCGCAUGAUCGGAGGUGGAAAGCUCCGGCGGAGAAGGAUGAGCUCGCGGCCUAUCAGCUAGUUGGUGUGGGUAACGGCCCACCAAGGCGACGACGGGUAGCCGGCCUGAGAGGGUGACCGGCCACACUGGUACUGAGACACGGCCCAGACUCCUACGGGAGGNAGCG